rnacentral:lncRNA from 10 species
GAGCAGGGGAGGGGAGAAGAGAGGGGAGAGAAGGGGAGAGGAGGGGAGGGGAGGGUAACAGAGGGGAGGGAAGAGGAGGGGAGAGAACGGGACAGGAGGGGAGGGGAGGGGAGCAGAGGGGAGAGGAGGGGAAAGAGGAGGAAAGAAAAGAAGAGUGGAGAGUGAGUCCAAGGUUUCUGGCCUGAGCACCUAGAGGGGUGGGAGUUGCCAUCACUGAGACGGGGAAGCUGCGUAUGUGUGCGUGGGGGCAGAUUAGGGUGGUGGAGGUGAGGUCUGCACAUGGGAAGAGAUAGUCACACUGAGACAUGGCAGAGACCAAACCAGGACACUUCAUUACCAGUCAUUAGGUGUUCUUGGUAAUUCAGCCAUGCAUAAAGAAAUCAACAAACGUUUCCUUCCCUGUUAGCAUGAUACAGGCCACCCUAUGGACCCCAAGGGAGAUGGUUAAAGUCCUGGCUCCACAGUGGGAGGCCUGGGUGCUAUGGAACCCAUGAGAACACAGCCUGGGAAGCCCUCUGAGGCUCAGGACUGCACCUCAUGACUUCUGAACCCAAAGUGGCCACGAUGACUUGGAACACCCCCCUCUCCCAGGCCCUCUUCAGGGACCUCUCUGUGGCUGUCUGUGAGCAGGAUCAGCUGGGCACAAAGUGGGACCCACAUGUGGAUGCAGAGGGACACACACCCAGCUGUCGGCGCUGCUGAUCAUUCUUCAGUGUGGCCAAGGGUGUCAGCCCCUCUGGCAUGUGGUCGUAGAGCUGGGACAGGCACUUCUCCUGGUGGUCCAGAUCCAUGCCUGGCUUCACUGCAAAGAGAACCACAGGCUGACCCUGCCCUCCUGUGCAGAUGGAAAAGUUGAACUCAAAUGUCACCGCCUCUGAGAAGCCAUCAAUGACUGCACCAUGGAGUCCACCUUCUGCUGCAUUUGUGUCUCUGCAGCAAUCACCAAGGCACUAUAUGGUAUUUCUAUUUGUUUCCACAUCUUGUCUCACCUAAUAGACUGUAUAGUACUAGGAGUGGUGGCUCACACUUUCAGAGAACCUACAGCAUAUAAAGCAUUAUUGAGCUUUGCAUACAGGCCCUUCAUUUUCAUGACAGCCUGUGAGGUAGAGUCUCUCCAUAUACCCAUUUUACAGAUGAGAAAAUCGAGGCAGAGGACAGCUAAGUAACUUGCCCAAGGUAAUACAGCUCAUUCAUGGCAGAGCUGAGAUAUGAACCCAGGAAGUCUGGCUCCAGAGGCUGUCUUUUUAAUUCCUCAGGAGGCUGCCUGGAUUAGUACUCAUUAGAUCAAAAAUCCCUGGCCAGGCACCGUGGCUCAUGCCUGUAAUGCCAACACUUUGGGGAGGCCAAGGCAGGACAAUUGCUUGAGGCCAGGAGUUUGAAACCAACCUAGGCAACAUAGUGAGACUCCAUCUCUACAAAAAAAAUUUUUUUCAAUUAACUGGUGUAGUGUCAUGUGCCUGUAGUCCCAGGUAUUCAGGAGGCUGAAGUAGGAGGAUCGCUUGAGCCCAGGAGUUCAAGAAGGCAGUGAGCCAUGAUCAUACCACUGCACUCCAGCCCCACCCCAAAAAAUAAAUUAAAUUAAAUUAAAUUAAAUUAAAUUAAAUUAAAUUCUGAUCAUCACAGAUUUUUUUUGCAUUAAUUUUUAUUUUAUUAUUAUUUGUUUUUUUGAGAUGGAGUCUUGCUCUGCUGUCCAGGCUGGAGUGCGGUGGCACAAUCUCGGCUCACUGCAACCUCCACCUCCCCGGCCCAAGCCAUUCUCCUGCCUCAGUCACCAGAGUAGCUGGGAUUAGAGGCACACGCCAUGCCCGGCUAAUUUUCGUAUUUUCAGUAGAGACAGAGUUUCACCUUGUUGGCCAGGCUGGUCUCGAACUCCUGACCUCAAAUGAUCUGCCUGCCUUGGCCUUCCAAAGUGCUGGGAUUACAGGCGUGAGCCACUGUACCCGGCCUGCAUUAAUUUGGAUUCUUUUAAAAUAUUACCUUAAAAUGUUACCUAUCUUGAUGCCAGCAUUUUUGGCAUUCCCUUAGAUUCUAGAUUCCAGGUGAAAAUUCAUCCUCUUGCACACAGGCAGAAUUAAAGGUGCCUCCUCUUCCUCUCUCUAAAGAAGCUUAUAACCCCUAACCCCACCAUGGCCUGUGCAGCAGCUGCCUCAGUCAUGGGUCAUUCUCAUCCUCUGCCUUCAGCCUGUGAGCAUCUCCAGGGAAGGCAGUUAGCUCUCGCUCAGCUCAGAAUCACCCCUGGGGCAGCUGGACCACAGCCCUGGCCAAACCCCUGAACCCCACAGGCCUUACCCUGGUGGUCAAUGAGGAGGAUGGCAGUGAAGUAGUGGGCCAGCGCCGUGUAGUGGUGGGCCUUCACGCAGGCCAAGCUGGCCCAGGAGUAGGGGAUGUUCUCUUUCACCAGCGCCUGGCUCAUGGCUGCGUGCAGCUGUUGGUAGACCUCUCCCACCUGAAAUAGAAGGGGCAUUGGGAAGGGGCAGCCCGGCACAAGGGCCCUCAUGAACCCAUUUGCAGAGAAAGAGCCCUUUCUUCUUCUCAUGCAACAGCCCCUGCCAGGGGCUGCUCCAGAAUCUGGGAGCAACUCCAAGCAACCCCUCAUUCUGUCACUGUCACAGUUAACAGGGGGAUCAGGCUGCUGUCAUUAUGCUGGUUUUUAGGUUAAGCUGCACAUGGAAUCAGUGAUCCGUAUCUGAAACACCAACACUUGCCAAGAAAACUCAAGCCAGCAGUACUGGCCGGAGCUGGCACAAUGCCCAGGUCACAGGCAAGCUCCCGUGGGAAGGCCCCGCUACUUCCAGUGCUCCUGUGCCAGCAUUUACCGCCCACUCCCCAAAGUCACAGGAACCAGGGAGUCUUACCUUGGCAGCCUCCUGAGCCACCUUCACCAGCAUGAAGAAUUCAUUCCGGAUCCCAGGAAGGCUGAUUUUCUCAAACACGCUUUCUUGGGCUUGUGUAAGCAUCAUUUUGACAAGCACGCUGAGCAUGGCAGGGCUCAUGUCGUAACUUGGAGUAUGGGUAAAUGUCUCUUUCAGGUAGUUUAAAACCCCUAAAAGUGGAAAAUGUUUUGCCCAUUAGUUCGGGUUUACAUUUACUUCAUCACGUUGCUGUAGAGAAAGAUAGGAGGCCAGGUGCGGUGGCUCAUGCCCAUAAUCCCAACACUUUGGGAGGCCAAAGCGAGCAGAUCACUUGCAUCAGGAAUUUAAGACCAGUGUGGGCAACAUGGUGAAACCCUGUCUCUACAAAAAAUACAAAAAUUAGCUGGGUGUGAUGGCGUGCACCUAUAGUCUCAGCUCCUCUGGAGGCUGAGGCAGGAGGAUUGCUUGAGCCCAGGAGACAGAGGUUGCAGUGAGCUGAUAUCUCACCACUGCACUCCAGACUCCGUCUCAAAAAAAAAAAAAAAAAAAAAAAAAGGAAAGAUAGGAGAAAAAAAAAAGAACCAGUGUCCUACAACAUAUUAAAAAGUUUGAUUCUCAAUUAUAUGGUCCAGCAAUUCCACUCUUAUGAUAUAUAUCCCCAAACAGUUGAAAGUGGGGGCUUAAAUGAUACUUGAACACCUGUGUUAAUAGCAACAUUAUUCACAAGAGCUGAAAAGUGGAAACCACCCAGACAUCCAUGAGCAGAUGAAUGAUUAAACACAAUGUGGCCUAUCCAUACAAUGGAAUAUUUUUCAGCCUUAAAAAGGAAUGAAAUUCUGACAUAUGGUACAGUGUAAAUAAGGGCAUUAUGCUAAGUGAAACAAGCCAGUCACAAAAGGACCAAUAUUGUAGGAUUCCAUUUAGAUAAGGUACCCGGAAUAGUCAAAUUCACAGAAACAGAAAGGAGAAUAGAGGUUAGCUGGGGCUGGGAAAGGGGGCAAUGGGAAGUUAUUGCUUAACUGAGUAAGUACAGAGCUUUGCUUAUCCAUCAUCCAGAUGGAAAAGUUCCGGAGAUAGCUGGUCACAGGGGCUGCUGCCUAUAAUCCCAGCUACAAGGGAGGCUGAGGUGGGAGGGUUGCUUGACAUUAAGAGUUCAAGACCAGCCUGGGCAACAUACUGAGACCCCUGUCUCUUAAAAAAAUAUAUACUUUUUAAAAAUGUAUUUAUUUUAUUUAUUUUUGAGACAAGAUCACACUCUGUUGCCCAGACUGGAGUGCAGUGGCACGAUCAUGACUCACUGCAGCCUCAAACUCCUGGGCUCAAGAGGUCCUCCCACCUCAGUCUCCUGAAGAGCUGGGACUACAGCCAUGCACCACCCCACACCCAGCUAAUUUUAAAAUUUUUUGUACAGAUGGGGUGUGCCUAUGUUGCCCAGACUGGUCUCCAACUCUUGGAUUCAAGUGAUCCUCCUGACUCAGCAUCCUAAAGUACUGAGAUUACAGGUGUGAGCCACCUUGCCUAACCAACAAAAAAAAUUUUUAACUUCCGGAGAUGUUUAGUGGUAAUGGCUGCACAACACUAUGAAUGUACAAAUGCACUUAAUGCCAUUGAACUGCACACUUCAAAAUGGUUAAAAUGUGCUUCUGGUUGGCAGAUAAUUUUAAAAUUUUAAAAAUUUAAGAUAAUCAUUAAAAUGGUAAUUUUAUGUUCUGUGUUAUUUUACUAUAAUAAAAAACUGGUUAAAAUAGUCCAUUUUAAGUUAUAUAUGUAUAUUUUAACACUAUUUAUUUAUUUAUUUAUAAAUAAGCGCCCAGGCUGGAGUGCAGUGGCAUGAUUUCAGCUCACCGAAACCUCUGCCUCCCAGGUUCAAGCGAUCCCCCUGCCUCAGCCCCCCAAGUAGCAGGGAUUACAGGUGCCCACCACCACACCUAGCUAAUUUUUGUAUUUUUAGUACAGACGGGGUUUCACCAUGUUGGCCAGACUGGUCUUGAACUCCUGACCUCAGGUGAUCUGCCUGCCUCAGCCACCCAAAGUGCUGGGAUAACAGGUGUGAGCCACCCCACCCAGCCUUUUAACCCAAUUUUUUAAAAUUGGAUUGUCUUCCAAAACACUUACAUCUCUAUUGAGUAGAGAAACCAGCCUGCUCCCCACAACUCCUGUGUCACCUGGGACAAAAUUCCAUCAUGACAGGUAUGGAGAUGCAAGCAGACAGCAGGCAGAAGGACUGAGGGGCUCACAGGCGGCCAGGCUCACACAUAAGAUCUGAGUCAUUCAGCAGUCCAGGGCUUUUCCCCUGGACCUCAAGAAAGAUCUAUUCUGGCCAGGUGCGGUGGCUCAUGCCUCUAAUCCCAGCACUUUGGGAGGCCGAGGCGGGUGGAUCACCUGAGGUCAGGUUCAAGACCAGCCUGGCCAACAUGGCAAAACCCUGCCUCUACUAAAAUUAUAAAAAUUAGCCAGGCAUGAUGGUACACACCUAUAAUCCCAGCUACUCAGGAGGCUGAGGUAGGAGAAUCACUUGAACCCGGGAAGCGGAGGCUGCAAUGAGCCGAGAUCUCACCACUGCACUCCAACCUGGGUGACAGAGUGAGAUUCCAUCUCAAAAAAAAAAAAAAAAAAACUCAAUCCGUCUGCUCCAAUGGAAAUUUUCAUGCUGCAGCCUUCCACUGACUUCUUUAUAGUUUAGAAAAUUAACUGUCCAAAGCGCUAACUGACAAUCAAUCUGGAACUGAAAUAGAGUCUCUCAUAUGAAUCCCAUCCAACUGGGUCCUCUGGUUUUGUUGCUGAGCAAAAAAAAAAAAAAAAAAAAAAAAAAAAAAUCCCCACCCUGUGGAGGGAUGGCACCUGCUGUUUUGAGCUGUGAGCUCCGUGGGGGUUCCCUCACCCUCCCCACUGUUCUCCCACUUGCUUCAUUUCAUCUAUAAUUUGUCUCCACUGCUAUAAUCUCAGUGACAGGACACAGAGUGCCUGCCUAAGAUUCCCCAGAAAGAUGAGUCCAGAAAAAAGAUUUACAACAAAAGAAAUCAACUCAUACUUGGAAUCUUAGCAUAUCGCUUCAUCCCAAGAGACCAAUCUUUCAUUUUUUUAAUUAAUUAAUUAUUUUUUGAGACAGGUUCUUGCUCUGUCGCCCAGGCUGGAGUGCAAUGGCACGAUCUUGGCUUACCACAACCUUGGCUGAUCCUUCCAUCUCAGCCUCCCAAGUAGCUGAGACUACAGGCAUGCACCACCAGGCCCAGCUAAUUUUUGUACUUUUUGUAGAGAUGGAGUUUUGCCUUGUUGCCCAGGCUGAUCUCAAAUUCCUGAGCUCCAGCAAUCCACCCACCUCAGCCUCCUAAAGUGCUGGGAUUACAGGCAUGAGCCACCAUGCCUGGCCUAUUUCUUGAAUUAAAAAAAAAAUUCUUUUUGACAAUCAUAGCUCACUGCAGCCUCAAACUCCUGGGCUUAAGUGAUCCUCCUGUCUUAGCCUCUGGAGUAGCUAGAACUAUGGGCGUACACCACCAUGCCUGGCUAAUUUUAAAUAUUUUGUAGAGACAGGGUCUUCCUGUGUGGCCCAGGCUGGUAGGACCAAUCAUUGUAACAUCAGAAAUUUCACAAUGAGUUGAAGUGGCAAAGCUCUGGUUCUUCACAAGCUUGCAGGGCAAAGUGAUAUCAAACAAUGAUCCACAUGGGUGGAAGGGGAUCACACCCCAAAGCAGAAUGUCGAUGAUCAACCUAGAAGGCAACACACUAUAGAGCUAGUGUGGAGAACACACUGUGGUCUACACUGUGCCCUGCUCUUGCAUCCAUCCCCACGGGGAGUCUGACCCAGACACAGGCCCUGCUAUGGGGGAGCAAGGCAGAACCCGUAGGCAAGGGUGAGCCGUGCCAGGCUCACCCACAGCACUGGGUCUGGUGACCCCGGUCCUCUACAGGUGUAAGCACUAGGUUGCUUUUCUCCUCGACCCCGCACCUCGUUCUCAUACUAGGAUUACCUGAGGUCAGGAGUUUGAGACCAGCCUGGCCAACAGGGCAAAACCUCAUCUCUACUAAAAAUACAAAAAUUAGCCGGGCAUGGUGGCAGACGCCUGUAAUCCCAGCUACUUGGGAGGCUGAGGCAGAAGAGUUGCUUGAACCCAGCAGGCAGAGGUCGCAGUGAGCAGAGAUUGUGCCACUGCACUCCAGGCUGGGUGACAAGAGCAAGACUCUAUCUCAAAAUAAACAAAUAAAUAAAAUAAAAUAACAAAAGACAGUUCCCAGAAGAAGGGAACUGAGCUAUGAGACAUCCUUUGAAUGCAUCACUUGACCAAGGGUUGAGAACACCCACCUCAUGCUGGAGAAGUUGGCAGAAUGCAGGUGACAUAAAGGCAUGGAGGGGCAGGGUGCGGUGGCUCACCCUGUAAUCCCAGCAUUUUGGGAGGCUGAGGCAGGCGGAACACCUGAGGUCAGGAAUUCGAGACCAGCCUGGCCAGGAUGGUGAGACCCCAUCUCCACUAAAAAUACAAAAAUUAGCCGGGCGUGGUAGCGAGUGCCUGUAAUCCCAGCUACUCAGGAGGCUGAGGCAGGAGAAUCGCUUGAAACUGGGAGGUUUCAAGCAGUGAGCCAACAUUGCGCCACUGCACUCCAGCCUGGGCGACAAGGGCAAAACUCCAUCUCAUAAAUAAAUAAAUAAAUAAAUAAAUAAAUAAAUAAAUAAAGGCACGGAGAGUAAUAUGCACAGAUAGGGUACACCUAAUACAAGAAAAAGAAGCCUACAGUUUCACUAUUUGGGAAAAGUUAUUCUGCUCUUCAUGACAGUGUUGAAAGAAACAGUUAUGCACUGCCAUCCCAGGGCCACUUGUCUGGAAAAGAUCAAUCAUCAGCCACAGGAUUCACCAUGUACAUCAGCCAUCCCAGACUGAGGUCUGAACCACCAAGCAAGUUUCUUUUUUUUUUUUUUGAGAUGGAGUCUGGCUCUGUCGCCCAGGCUGGAGUGCAGUGGCGCGAUCUCGGCUCACUGCAAGCUCCGCCUCCCGGGUUCAUGCCAUUCUCCUGCCUCAGCCUCCCGAGUAGCUGGGAAUACAGGUGCCCGCCACCAGGCCCAGCUAAUUUUGUGAAUUUUUAGUAGAGAUGGGGUUUCACCAUGUUAGCCAGGAUGGUCUCGAUCUCCUGACCUUCGUGAUCCACCUGCCUCAGCCUCCCAAAGUGCUGGGAUUACAGGCAUGAGCCACCGCGCCCGGCCAGAGCAAGUUUCUUAAUGGGAAGUUACACCAGAGCUGAAGACUGGUCUGGCCCUUGCAGGGGACGACCUGUAGACCCUCUUCAGUGGGGGGUCCCCUGGUGCCACCAGGCGGGGCCAAGGCUCUGUCCAGUCAGCCCUGGAGGAGACAUACCUGCAGCUCUCUGAAAGGCAUCUAUGGCACUCUGCAGCCCAGCCUGCAUCUGCCAAUAGCGCCACGUCCCAAUCUGGGUGUAGAGGGCCCCAGUGUUGAACAGGACACUGGCCUUCUCCAGCAGCAGGUUCUGCUGGCUGACCAGAACCCCAUUGAGGGAGUCAUACCUAUGUGAAAGAAAUGCAUUCAGGGAGUACAGAUUACUUGGCUAGUUAAUGCUACUUUUGGAUGCAAGUGGAAAAAAUUAUUAUUAUUAUUUUAUUUAUUUAUUUUUUUUGAGACAGAGUCUCACUCUGUCGCCCAGGCUGGAGUGCAGUGGCGUGAUCUCGGCUCACUGCAAGCUCUGCCUCCCAGGUUCACGCCAUUCUCCUGCCUCAGCCUCCCAAGUAGCUGGGACUAUAGGCACCCGCCACCACGCCCAGCUAAUUUUUUGUAUUUUUAGUAGAGACAGGGUUUCACCGUUUUAGCCAGGAUGGUCUCGAUCUCCUGACCUCAUGAUCCGCCCACCUCAGCCUCCCAAAGUGCUGGGAUUACAGGCGUGAGCCACUGUGCCUGGCUCUAUUAUUAUUUUUUUAAGAGUCAGGAUCUCACUCUGUUGCCCAGGCUGGAGUGCAGUGGUGUGAUCAUAGCUUACUGCAGCCUCCAACUUUAGGGCUCAAUUGAUCCUCCCACCUCAGCCUCAUGAGAAUAGCUGGGAUUACAGGUGCAUGCCACCAUACCUGCCUAAUUUUUUUUUUUAAUUUUUGUAGAGAUGGGGUCUCACUAUGUUACCCAAACUGCUGUUAAACUCCUGGGUUGGCUGGGUGUGGUGGCUCACACCUGUAAUCCCAGCACUUUGGGAGGCUAAGGCGGGUGGAUCACCUGAAGUCAGGAGUUCGAGACCAGCCUGGCCAAGAUGGUGAAACCCAGUCUCCACUAAAAAUACAAAAAUUAGCCAGGCAUGGUGGCAGGCACCUGUAAUCCCAGCUACUCAGGAGGCUGAGGCGGGAGAAUUGCUUGAACCCGAGAGGUGGAGGUUACAGUGAGAUGAGAUUGCACCGCUGUGCUCCAGCCUGGGUGACAAUAACAACAACAACAAACUCAUUUCUUCAAUAAAAUUCAAGAAUGCACAUGCACUGAGGCUUUUGUUUCCAAGCAAGAUGACAGGACUAAUCGCACUGACCGCCACAGCCACACACACAAAUAUCUGAUGGGGUAACUUUAUAAACACAGCAUGGGACAUCCAGACAAUGGACUAUUACUCAGUACUAAAAAUGGAGCCUUUUCAAGCAAGCCUUGAAAAGAUGCAGAGGAAACAUUACUAAGAGCCAACCUGAACGUUGCUACCUACUGUAUAGCACGCUGUGUGAGUCCAACAUUCUGAAAAGCCAAAAACCCGGGAGACAGAAGAAAGAUCAGGGGUUGCCAGGACUUAGGGGGAGGGAGGGAGGAACGGCAGAGCACACGGAGGAUUUUUCCAGCAGUGAAACUCUUCUGUACGACACUGCAAAGAUGGAUCACUGUCACUCUAUGUUGGCCAAAAGCUGCAGAAUACACAAGUACAAGAAUGAACCCUAAUGGGAACUAUGGACUCUGGGUGAUAAUGAUGUGUCAGGUAAGUUCCUCAAUUAUAAAAAAAAAAAAAAAAUGCGCCAGGUGCGAUGGCUCAUGCCUGUAAUCCCAGCACUUUGGGAGCCCGAGGCAGGCAGAUCACAAGGCCAGGGAUUGAGACCAGCCUGGCCAACG